UACGUAGGGGGCAAGCGUUGUCCGGAUUUAUUGGGCGUAAAGAGCGUGUAUGCGGCCUGAAAGGUCAGCUGUGAAAACUCGAGGCUCAACCUCGAGACGUCGGUUGAAACCAUCUGGCUAGAGUCCGGAAGAGGAGUGUGGAAUUCCCGGUGUAGCGGUGAAAUGCGCAGAUAUCGGGAAGAACACCCGUGGCGAAGGCGGCACUCUGGGACGGUACUGACGCUGAGACGCGAAAGCGUGGGGAGCGAACAGG
rnacentral:rRNA from 1 species